CAAACAGCCUCACUUUGAAAAGACUUGCAGAGAUAUCGGGACAGAUUUCUGACGAGAACAAUCUUCUCACUCCAGCCAACAGAGGUUGAUCAUCGAUUAAGAUUUCAUCAAACGUUGCAGUAGUUUUUCUGAAACAUAUGAAAAUUUCUUUACAUUUCUUUGGAUUAAGGGGUGGAACUUGAUAUGAGAUUCGUUAACAAAACUAAGAUAUUGCCGUGAGAAACUUGUUUCUUUCUCAGAAAGGAAGGUGUGGUUACUUAAAUCUUGUCGUUAAAGAAAAACUGAGUUAUUUUUGUGUAUACACGUCAUGAGCAAGGGAAAGGAAGCAUCAAAAAAAACAAUUGACAUACUGUCCUUAGAUGGUGGAGGAAGUCGAGGUAUAUUGGAGCUGAAGAUAUUGGACGACGUUCUACGAUUGGCGACGAUUGUGUUAAGAAAUCCUGAUGAUGUGAGCUGCCUUGUAGACAAUGAUGAAAAGGAAGAGAUUUCUUAAAAGAUAGUAACGUUAGAGAGUUUCUGAUUGACUUUAUGGAUGGAGUAGAGGAUCCCAU